rnacentral:rRNA from 1 species
GUUGUAGUCUGGAGAAGUGCUUUCCGCGCUGGACCGUGUAUAAGUCUCUUGGAACAGAGCGUCAUAGAGGGUGAGAAUCCCGUCUUUGACACGGACUACCAGUGCUUUGUGAUGCGCUCUCAAAGAGUCGAGUUGUUUGGGAAUGCAGCUCAAAAUGGGUGGUGAAUUCCAUCUAAAGCUAAAUAUUGGCGAGAGACCGAUAGCGAACAAGUACCGUGAGGGAAAGAUGAAAAGCACUUUGGAAAGAGAGUUAAACAGUACGUGAAAUUGCUGAAAGGGAAACGCUUGAAGUCAGUCGCGUUGUCUGGGACUCAGCCUUGCUUUUGCUUGGUGCACUUUCCGGAUGACGGGCCAGCAUCGAUUUUGACCGUCGGAAAAGGGCUAGGGUAAUGUGGCACCUCCGGGUGUGUUAUAGACUUUAGUCGCAUACGGCGGUCGGGAUCGAGGAACGCAGCGCGCCGUAAGGCAGGGGUUCGCCCACUUUCGCGCUUAGGAUGCUGGCGUAAUGGCUUUAAACGACCCGUCUUGAAACACGGACCAAGGAGUCUAACAUACCUGCGAGUGUUUGGGUGGAAAACCCGAGCGCGUAAUGAAAGUGAAAGUUGAGACCUCUGUCGUGGAGGGCAUCGACGCCCGGACCUGACGUUCUCUGACGGAUCCGCGGUAGAGCAUGUAUGUUGGGACCCGAAAGAUGGUGAACUAUGCCUGAAUAGGGUGAAGCCAGAGGAAACUCUGGUG